GUGGGGUGUAGGUGGGGUUGUAUGGUGGUGUGUAGAUGUGGUAUGGUGGGGUGUAGGUGGGGUUGUAUGGUGGUGUGUAGGUGGGGUGGUAUGGUGGUGUGUAGAUGGGGUGGUAUGGUGGUGUGUAGAUGGGGUGGUAUGGUGGUGUGGAGAUGGGGUAAGGUGGGGUGUAGGUGGGGUUGUAUGGUGGUGUGUAGAUGUGGUAUGGUGGGGUGUAGGUGGGGUUGUAUGGUGGUGUGUAGGUGGGGUGGUAUGGUGGUCUGUAGGUGGGGAUGUAUGGUGGGGUGUAGGUGGGGUUGUAUGGUGGUGUGUAGAUGUGGUAUGGUGGGGUGUAGGUGGGGUUGUAUGGUGGUGUG
ensembl:lncRNA